rnacentral:misc_RNA from 1 species
GAUGAAGAACGUAGCGAAAUGCGAUAAGUAGUGUGAAUUGCAGAAUCCAGUGAAUCCUCGAAUCUUUGAACGCACAUUGCGCCCCAUGGUAUUCCGUGGGGCAUGCCUGUUCGAGCGUCAUUUACCCCCUCAAGCUCCGCUUGGUGUUGGGCGUCUGUCCCGCUUCGCGCGCGGACUCGCCCCAAAGGUAUUGGCAGCGGUCGUGCCAGCUUCUCGCGCAGCACAUUGCGCUUCUCGAGGCACCGGUGGGCCCGCGUCCAUCAAGCUCACCCCCCCAGUUUGACCUCGGAUCAGGUAGGGAUACCCGCUGAACUUAAGCAUAUCAAUAAGCGGAGGA